GCCCAUGACGACGACGAUCAUUCUCGUAGGAUGGCGCAUGGGCAAGGCGGUGUGACCGCCGGGCGACAGCACCCCAUGCGCGCACGACAGGCUCCCUCGGGAGCCUUUUUUAUUGGCCAGAA
rnacentral:sRNA from 1 species